rnacentral:tRNA from 2 species
AGUACAGUCAACUAAAUAAGUUUUUGGGCCCAUACCCCAAACAUGACGGUUAAAAUCCUUCCUGCACUA